AUUGAACGCUGGCGGCAGGCCUAACACAUGCAAGUCGAGCGGAAACGAGUUAUUUGAACCUUCGGGGGACGAUAAUGGCGUCGAGCGGCGGACGGGUGAGUAAUGCCUAGGAAAUUGCCCUGAUGUGGGGGAUAACCAUUGGAAACGAUGGCUAAUACCGCAUAACGCCUACGGGCCAAAGAGGAGGACCUUCGGGCUUCUCGCGUCGGGAUGGGCCCAGUUGGGAUUAGCUAGUUGGUGAGGUAAUGGCUCACCAAGGCGACGAUCCCUAGCUGGUUUGAGAGGAUGAUCAGCCACACUGGAACUGAGACACGGCCCAGACUCCUACGGAGGCAGCAGUGAGGAAUAUUGCACAAUGGGCGAAAGCCUGAUGCAGCCAUGCCGCGUGAAUGAAGAAGGUUUUCGGACUGUAAAGUUCUUUCAGUGGUGAGAAUAGUGAUGUUAACCACAGAAGAAGU
rnacentral:rRNA from 1 species